UACAGAGGGUGCAAACGUUGCUCGGAAUCACUGGGCAUAAAGCGCAUGUAGGCGGUCUCCUAAGUCUGGUGUGAAAUCCCUCGGCUCAACCGGGGAACUGCAUUGGAUACUGGGAGGCUUGAGAGUUGUAGGGGUGGACGGAACUCCAGGUGGAGCGGUGAAAUGCGUAGAUAUCUGGAGGAACACCGGAGGCGAAAGCGGUCCACUGGGCAACUUCUGACGCUGAGAUGCGAAAGCUAGGGUAGCAAACGGG
rnacentral:rRNA from 1 species